AUUGAACGCUGGCGGCAGGCCUAACACAUGCAAGUCGAACGAGUGGCGGACGGGUGAGUAAUGUCUGGGAAACUGCCCGAUGGAGGGGGAUAACUAAUGGAAAAGGUAGCUAAUACCGCGUACCAUCGGAGGUGCCCAGAUGGGAUUAGCUUGUAGGUGAGGUAACGGCUCACCUAGGCGACGAUCCCUAGCUGGUCUGAGAGGAUGACCAGCCACACUGGAACUGAGACACGGUCCAGACUCCUACGGGAGGAAGCAGUGGGGAAUAUUGCACAAGGUGCGCAAGCCUGAUGCAGCCAUGCCGCGUGUAUGAAGAAGGCCUUCGGGUUGUAAAGUACUUUCAGCGGGGAGGCGUUACCCGCAGAAGAAGCACCGGCUAACUCCGUGCCAGCAGCCGCGGUAAUUC
rnacentral:rRNA from 1 species